CCUCACUCUGGCAUUGUGGGCUGCUCCAGCAAGCCCCGCAUUCUGAGGCUUCGUUGGGUGAGGAGCAGACACCAGUGUUUGUGCCUCUAAACUUCAGAGGACAGAUGUUAAUUUCUGCUGAGAAUUUCCUUAUGCAGUACUGGGUGCAGCUAUAAAUUUCUACAGCUCUGCCAAGGAUUUAUGUUAAUAGAAGCCAUCGCUUAACAUCUUGGGUCUCAACUUAGCUUUAAAAUAGGGAAGAUAAAAUCCACUUCAUAAAGUGGUAAAGUUUGAAUCAACUCACGUAAAGUACUUAGAACAGCAUCAGAAACACGAUGCUGAUUGUAAGGUCUACAGCGAUGUGACUAGAACCGUAGUCCACAGACUUCUGCUACGGCAUCCCGCAACUACGAUCGUCCCUCUGCCGAGAGAUCAGCCAGCUAGCCAAGUAAGAAAAAGGAAAACAGCAGAGCUGAUGGCCAAUUGGAGGGUCUUCAAGUGUCCCACUACCCUUUCCAUUCCAUGAUGGAGAAAUGAGG
rnacentral:lncRNA from 10 species